CUAAGUAGCCCUCGUUUGAGAGCAUUCCUGAAUCCUGACAAAAUUGGUAAACCUUUUCUCAGGCCUUCCCCCUCCCAAGCCAAGCAACAAAUGGGGUCAGCAGCGUGGUAAACAAAAUAGAAGUACAAGGGUUUGGGUAGAAAAAUACAUUAAUCAUUGGCCCAAGUUGACCCAAUGAUACCCGAGAGGUAUUUCGUACUCCAUUUUGUAAUUUAGAACAUGUUUACAUAAAUGAAAGUUUCCGUAAAGUUUUGGGGAGCAGUUUUGUGAUAUCACCAAUCUCGUCAGUUUGUUUUCCACAA